rnacentral:misc_RNA from 1 species
GAUGAAGAACGUAGCGAAAUGCGAUAAGUAAUGCGAAUUGCAGAAUUCCGUGAGUCAUCGAAUCUUUGAACGCACAUUGCGCCCUUUGGCAUUCCGAAGGGCAUGCCUGUUCGAGCGUCAUUUAUCAACCCUCAAGCCCGGCUUGCGGUUGGGUCCCGCCGUGGGCGACCACGGCGGACCCGAAAGGUAAUAGCGGUGCCCGUGGGGCCCUGGACGCAGCGAGCUUCUCGGCACGCGUCCCGGCGGUCCCCGGCGCCGUCUCCACCAAUCCACCACGCAGAUUGACCUCGGAUCAGGUAGGGAUACCCGCUGAACUUAAGCAUAUCAAUAAGCGGAGGA